rnacentral:rRNA from 1 species
CCUACGGGUGGCAGCAGUGAGGAAUAUUGGUCAAUGGCCGAGAGGCUGAACCAGCCAAGUCGCGUGAGGGAAGACGGCCCUACGGGUUGUAAACCUCUUUUGUCGGGGAGCAAAGCGAGUCACGUGUGACUCAUUGAGAGUACCCGAAGAAAAAGCAUCGGCUAACUCCGUGCCAGCCGCCGCGGUAAUACGGAGGAUGCGAGCGUUAUCCGGAUUUAUUGGGUUUAAAGGGUGCGCAGGCGGAGGUGCAAGUCAGCGGUCAAAGUGCGGGGCUCAACCCCGUACUGCCGUUGAAACUGCAUCCCUUGAGUGCGCGAGAAGUAUGCGGAAUGCGUGGUGUAGCGGUGAAAGGCAGAGAUAGCACGCAGAACUCCGAUUGCGAAGGCAGCAUACCGGCGCGCAACUGACGCUCAUGCACGAAAGCGUGGGUAUCGAACAGGAUUAGAGACCCCUGUAGUC